AGAGUUUGAUCCUGGCUCAGGACGAACGCUGGCGGCGUGCCUAAUACAUGCAAGUGGAACGCAUUGGUAACACCGGACUUGUUCCAGUGUUACUAAUGAGUCGCGAACGGGUGAGUAACGCGUAGGUAACCUGCCUGAUAGCGGGGGAUAACUAUUGGAAACGAUAGCUAAUACCGCAUAAGAGGAGUUAACUCAUGUUAACUGUUUAAAAGAAGCAAUGGCUUCACUAUCAGAUGGACCUGCGUUGUAUUAGCUAGUAGGUAGGGUAACGGCCUACCUAGGCAACGAUACAUAGCCGACCUGAGAGGGUGAACGGCCACACUGGGACUGAGACACGGCCCAGACUCCUACGGGAGGCAGCAGUAGGGAAUCUUCGGCAAUGGACGCAAGUCUGACCGAGCAACGCCGCGUGAGUGAAGACGGUUUUCGGAUCGUAAAGCUCUGUUGUAGGGGAAGAACGUGUGUAAGAGUGGAAAGCUUACACAGUGACGGUACCCUACCAGAAAGGGACGGCUAACUACGUGCCAGCAGCCGCGGUAAUACGUAGGUCCCGAGCGUUGUCCGGAUUUAUUGGGCGUAAAGGGAGCGCAGGCGGUUUAGUAAGUCUGAAGUUAAAGGCAUUGGCUCAACCAAUGUAUGCUUUGGAAACUGUUAGACUUGAGUGCAGAAGGGGAGAGUGGAAUUCCAUGUGUAGCGGUGAAAUGCGUAGAUAUAUGGAGGAACACCGGUGGCGAAAGCGGCUCUCUGGUCUGUCACUGACGCUGAGGCUCGAAAGCGUGGGUAGCGAACAGGAUUAGAUACCCUGGUAGUCCACGCCGUAAACGCUGAGUGCUAGGUGUUAGGUCCUUUCCGGGACUUAGUGCCGACGCUAACGCAUUAAGCACUCC
rnacentral:rRNA from 1 species